ensembl:snoRNA SNORD58 Small nucleolar RNA SNORD58
CUGCGAUGAUGGCAUUUCUUAGGACACCUUUGGACUCACCAUGAAAAAAAAACUAUUUUCUGAGCGGC